UACGUAGGGUGCAAGCGUUGUCCGGAAUUACUGGGCGUAAAGCGUGCGCAGGCGGUUUUGUAAGCCAGAUGUGAAAUCCCCGGGCUUAACCUGGGAAUGGCAUUUGGGACUGCAAGGCUCGAGUGCGGCAGAGGAGACUGGAAUUCCUGGUGUAGCAGUGAAAUGCGUAGAUAUCAGGAGGAACACCGAUGGCGAAGGCAGGUCUCUGGGCUGACACUGACGCUCAUGCACGAAAGCGUGGGGAGCAAACAGG
rnacentral:rRNA from 1 species